rnacentral:ribozyme from 1 species
GGUUCUCUUUCUUUUCUCCCAGUUUGAAAAGAAAAAGAAGAGAGAAGAAGAAAAUUGAGAAAGAAAAAAGAGAAAAAGAAAUUCUGCCAGAAGCAUGUUACAGCGGUUAGAACAAC